rnacentral:rRNA from 1 species
UACGAAGGGGGCUAGCGUUGCUCGGAAUCACUGGGCGUAAAGCGCACGUAGGCGGACUCUUAAGUCAGGGGUGAAAUCCUGGAGCUCAACUCCAGAACUGCCUUUGAUACUGGGAGUCUUGAGUUCGGGAGGGGUGAGUGGAACUGCGAGUGUAGAGGUGAAAUUCGUAGAUAUUCGCAAGAACACCAGUGGCGAAGGCGGCUCACUGGCCCGAUACUGACGCUGAGGUGCGAAAGCGUGGGGAGCAAACAGG